UGGUUCUGGCAACGAUGAAGAACGCAGCGAAAUGCGAUAAGUAAUGUGAAUUGCAGAAUUCCGUGAAUCAUCAAAUCUUUGAACGCACAUUGCGCCCACUAGCACUCUAGUGGGCAUGCCUGUUCGAGCGUCAUUACGACCCUCAGGCCUGCGCCCCCGGGGGGGCGCAGGCCUGGCGUUGGGGCGCUACAGCGCAUACGCGCUGUAGGCUCCGAAUUUCAGUGGCGGACCCGCCGGGGCCUCAGCGCAGUAGACUCUGUUCGCUAGGGGAGCUCCGGCGCGUGCCCUGCCGUAAAGACCCCUAAACUCACAAGGUUGACCUCGGAUCAGGUAGGAAUACCCGCUGA
rnacentral:misc_RNA from 1 species